CCCCGCUGCCUCAUGGCGGCGCUGGGACGGGCCCUGCCCGGCGAGGCCCGGCCCUGCCGCCCCGCAGACCCCCCCCGCCCUGAGGGAGCCGCCGCCGCCCGGACACCCCCUCCCGAGGCUUGCACUAAUGGAAGUGAGAGAUGGAAAUCUGAAGCUAGAAGUACUUUUUUGCUACCUCCAAGUACAUAUGGAAAUAGCUCACUCCAGCCCCUUGUACUUAAGCAUCCAUUUGUGCUGCUGCCUCAGCUCCUCCUGUGGAAGGCGAUAAACUUGACCUGAGCUACAGUGUCCAUCCUUUGGGUGUGCUGGAGAAAUCACUCUGGCCUUGUUCAAUACCCUGAACAGCACUUGGACUUCUAAUUAGACUUGGCAAGAUAUCUGCCUGCCUGCUACAGAGGAGGAAUUCAAAGGAAUGCUGCUCAGCAACCAGCUGUGGCUACCCUCUCCCCCUCUUCUGCUUGGACUACCAAGCAAGAUCGCAGCUGAUUCUUUCACAUAACACUCAGCUUAUGGAUUUGAAACGUAGGAUUCAUGACCUCUGUGCCUCCAAGGUGGAACUGGAUAGACCUUGAAGAAGUCAAUGACAUGAAAGCAGCAGAAGACUUCCUGUCAUCUUCUGUCCAUCUCCCUGCUGCUUAGCAGGCAGAGACCUCAGCGGAAGGGUCCAGCAAAAUCCUUUGAUGCCAGGGAAAGCACGUGGAACAACAGUGAGGAAAGUCAGACAGCGCAGCAGCUCUGUCUCAACUUCAUAUUUCCCAAGCUUCACAGAAGAAGUCCGUCUUGCCUGCCAAUGUCUGAGUUUGGGUUGUCAGCAGUUUUUCUAAAGGAAUGAACAAAGCCACUGUACUCCCAAAAUGCUGAUAAACAAAUCACAAAAAACAACAUGUGAUCCUUGCUACCUUGGGACUGCUUUCUGUAAAUAUGCAGGAUGUGAGGUUAAGAAUGGACUUGAACACAAGAUCCAUGGCUUUUGCACUUUCCACUCGCACUGGAGCAGCUAGCUCCUCCAGAAAGCUCCAGAGCUCUUCCUAACUGAGCCUGCAUGAACUCUAUGGAUGGUGCAGAAGUCUACACUUGAGAAGAGGCUCAAGGCAGCAUUGACCUGAUAUUGUGGACAUCCUCAAGCAAUUCAGAAAGCCCCAUUCCUAACAAUGUAUCUCGACGGUAUCCUAAUGGGAUCACGCACCUUCUUUCUGCUUCACUGGAGGUGUGAAUUCUCCCAGCCACCUUCUUUGCAGCCCUGGUUCACUGUCAGUUGAGCAGCCUAAUCAAAAAACAUUGUGUUGUUUGCAGGCUUGACAGGUUUUAAUGCAGGGCAAAGACAAACAAACAAGUGAAAGAGGAAGGCACAGCAAAAUCAGCGCUGCCGAUUACCUAACUGGGGCUCUCAUCAGAAUUCAUAUAUCUCCAGCGAUUUCUCAAUCUCAUUGGAGUGCUGCCUGCUGAAUGCGGAGUCUCUCCUCAGCCCAGAUCAAUUAAGGUACACCAAAUCACAAAAUUUAUUUAUUUAUUCAUGGUUUAUUCUCCCCCGCCCCAGGCACAGAUGGGUGGAUGUGUUCACAGUCUCUUCUCCUUCUUCCCUUUCUUGCUGGCAAAGAAGGAUCAGCUCUCUCUCGUUGCUUCCAAAAGUGGAACUUGAUUUGAUUAGUGUGAGGGAUCACUAAGCUAAUUUGAC